rnacentral:lncRNA from 1 species
UGUUGUUUUCGGAGAAAAAUUUCCCCCUAAUUCACAUUAUAGGGAAUCAGUCUCAUCACCAUCACGUGAAAGUAUGCAUGGACAUACCUUUAAGGACCAAUUUCAAUGGCUCAAAAUAUCCAUGCUUUUCGUUCUAUAUAAAGGGUGAGCUCAGCUUGCAACAUUAUUUUCACCCCUCAAAAACCAGUGCCAUAAACAUGAUUAUCCCAAUCUUUUUCAGUUUAUCUUUCCUAGUUUCCUCCACCAACGCAGCCGACUUCUGUGUUGGGGACUUGAAUGGCCCUGUAGGCCCUGCAGGCUAUUCUUGCAAGAAGACAGUCACCGUAAAUGACUUCGUUUACUCCGGCCUCGCUGCCACAGGCAACACUUCGAACCUCAUAAAAGCUGCAGUAACACCAGCCUUUUCGGCUCAAUUCCCGGGUGUUAACGGACUCGGCAUUUCAAUAGCUCGUUUGGAUUUAGCUGUUGGUGGAGUGAUACCUAUGCAUACACACCCUGGGGCUUCUGAACUCAUUCUUGUUAUGCAUGGCACACUUCUUGCCGGUUUCAUGUCCUCAGAUAGCAAAUCAGUUUACUCCAA